rnacentral:hammerhead_ribozyme from 2 species
AGCCGAAACAGGGGUCUGUGCGCCCCUGUCCACCAUGGGUGGUGCCAUGGUGCCGAUGAUGGUAGCCACAA